rnacentral:rRNA from 1 species
AGAGUUUGAUCCUGGCUCAGGAUGAACGCUAGCUACAGGCUUAACACAUGCAAGUCGAGGGGAAACGACAUCGAAAGCUUGCUUUUGAUGGGCGUCGACCGGCGCACGGGUGAGUAACGCGUAUCCAACCUGCCCAUCACUUGGGGAUAACCUUGCGAAAGUAAGACUAAUACCCAAUGACGUCUCUAGAAGACAUCUGAAAGAGAUUAAAGAUUUAUCGGUGAUGGAUGGGGAUGCGUCUGAUUAGCUUGUGGCGGGUAACGGCCACAAGGCGACGAUCAGUAGGGGUUCUGAGAGGAAGGUCCCCANAUUGGAACUGAGACACGGUCCAAACUCCUACGGGAGGCA